CCUACGGGUGGCAGCAGUGGGGAAUAUUGGACAAUGGGGGCAACCCUGAUCCAGCCAUGCCGCGUGUGUGAAGAAGGCCCUCGGGUUGUAAAGCACUUUCAGUGAGGAAGAACGCCUGGUGGUUAAUACCCAUCAGGAAAGACAUCACUCACAGAAGAAGCACCGGCUAACUCCGUGCCAGCAGCCGCGGUAAUACGGAGGGUGCGAGCGUUAAUCGGAAUUACUGGGCGUAAAGCGCGCGUAGGUGGCUUGAUAAGCCGGUUGUGAAAGCCCCGGGCUCAACCUGGGAACGGCAUCCGGAACUGUCAAGCUAGAGAGCAGGAGAGGAAGGUAGAAUUCCCGGUGUAGCGGUGAAAUGCGUAGAGAUCGGGAGGAAUAACAGUGGCGAAGGCGGCCUUCUGGACUGACACUGACACUGAGGUGCGAAAGCGUGGGUAGCAAACAGGAUUAGAUACCCUAGUAGUC
rnacentral:rRNA from 1 species